AUUGAACGCUGGCGGAAUGCCUAACACAUGCAAGUCGAACGAGGUGUAGCAAUACACCUAGUGGCGGACGGGUGAGGAACACAUAGGAAUCUACCUUUUAGUGGGGGAUAACCCGGGGAAACGUCGGAUUAAUACCGCAUACGAUCUACGGAUGAAAGUGGGGGACCGCAAGGCCUCACGCUGUUAGAUGAGCCUAUGUCCGAUUAGCUAGUUGGUAGGGUAAUGGCCUACCAAGGCGACGAUCGGUAGCUGGUUUGAGAGAACGAUCAGCCACACUGGAACUGAGACACGGUCCAGACUCCUACGGGAGGCAGCAGUGGGGAAUAUUGGACAAUGGGCGCAAGCCUGAUCCAGCAAUUCCGCGUGGGUGAAGAAGGCCUUCGGUUG
rnacentral:rRNA from 1 species